GACCUAGUAGCGAAGGGAAUCGCGUCUGCUCCCACUGAAGAGUCGAUCACAACGUGCAGCAGGAGAUCCUGGUUCGACCCCAGGCUAGGUCU